GGAGAGGUGUCAGAGUGGCCGAACGAGCACGCUUGGAAAGUGUGUUUACCGAAAGGUAACGUGGGUUCGAAUCCCACCCUCUCCGCCA
rnacentral:tRNA from 1 species